GCCGCUUCCGCACCGAAAGAGCGGCCCACGGAGGCCGCGGGAAUAGCGCGGCCGGACUACAACACCCAGAGGGCCUCGCGCGGCAGGAGGGCACACCGAAAGCGGAUGUGAGGAGGAGGCGGCCGGGCUCCCUCGGCUGCGAAGAGAGGGUUCUGGGGGUUUUAAUGGAGGGAAGGGAGCCGCUUGGAGCGCUUAGAUGGGGCUUUUUGUGAGCCUGAGAGGAGGAAUAGGGCUUGGACUACGACGACCAGGAUCCUUUGCGCCUCCAAGGCUCGGCUGAGACGAAAGGGGGUGGGGCUAAGCGUGACAGCAGGAAAAACAGUCAUCUUUUCUGGAGUGAGGUGAGGAUGGGGAUGACAUGCUGCAAUUUCAACAAUUCUUUGGUGCCGCCUAGAGCCAGAACAAGAGAAGUGCCUUAGCAAACCAAGAUCAGCAGGACAACACAUUUGGUGGCAGUUCCUUAGGGAACAAGAAGACAGUCCGAGGCAUCCAUUUGUGGUCUGGGAAGGAUACCUUGGAAAGUGGACUUUUAAAAAUCCAAGACAAUAUGAAUUGAAUUGUAGUCCCUACCUAUCUCCUUGCUCAAGGUGUGAGCAGCACUUUCAGCCAUGCUUGCUUGAUCCACCUGGAAAUGACGGAAGGAUUGUGUCAUUUAUACUCUACAUCAGGGACAGAGAACUAAAGCACCUUAUGAUUUCUAUGAGGACCAGAUGCAUAUGUGGUUCAGGUAGGAUGAAAGACACUGCUAAUUCAUGCCAAGAUGUAGCAUGGUUGCUUUGUGUCUCCUUAUGAAGAGGCAUCCAUAAAAAGCUUCCACUCUCUUAUCCAGCCCAGAACCAAAUUUUGGUUUGGAAUCCCAGUUAUUGGGCUUCAGGAUGCUUUCUCCCUCCUGAUGAAGAUAUAGUGCGCCAGGAUCCACCGAAUAAUGGUCUAAGCACCACCUUUCCUGUUCCUAGUUGUGCAUUAAGAAGAGAAACCCCCAAACUAAACAUGAUCUCUACAACCAAGUCCCAAAGCAACAUCUUCUUUUGAAAACUCAGAAAACAAUGUAAGCCUCUAGUUCAGUGGAAACAGUGCACCUUUUAGAUAUUGGCAAUAAUAUCCCCUUCCAUAAAGUGGGGGAGAAGAAGUAACUUGUCGUCCCCCCCCCCAGAUUAUCCUAGUGAUAUGGUCUGUUUAAAAUAUGAGAGAGGGAGGAGAGUAAAAGAAGGAAUAAGAUGCAACAUGACUCUUUCAUCUUCUUCCCAGGAUAUGUAAAAUUAAGUCACGGUUAAUGAAUUUAGAAUCAAUUCUUGCUUCAAAGAGAAGUACAGAUAAAAUACCUUUCAUUAUUAGUUAGCAAAAUAUUUUAUGUGUACAACACAGUUGCAUCAGCAGCUGAACAGCUCAUUUCUGCCUUUACUUUCCUCCUCCCCUUUUCCAUAACUCAAUUUCUUUUACAUAGGGCAGAACAGUUGCUAUUCUCAACUUGACCAAACCGAUGAGAAAACAAAAGAACAAUCUGCAGUAAAGAAAACAGGAGUACCCAGAGGCCCUUCAACAACAGUACCUCAUCUCGGGAGACUGAGCUGAUUUCUGCAGCCAGAGAUUCAGAGAAGGAAGCAGAGAAGAGGUUCUUGGCACCUUGAAUGCUGAGGUUUAUGAUCUGCCCAUUCAGCUCAUCAUUCUGUUCCUUCAGGUUUCGGUUGUCCUGUUUGCAAACAGAAACUGAAAUGUCAAACCUGUCAUUCAUUGCUGGCACAGCGCAGGUAAGACCAUGUGAAACCACCGUACACAGUCGGAUAAUUUAAGAGUCAGAGUAGCCUGACUCUUCCAGACAAAGGUCUUUGCAAAGCCCAGUUGCCCGAGCUUUUCUAGAUAUGGAAGGACUCAACCUGGGAUCUUCUGCAUACAUACUAUGGGCACUGUACAUGGUAAACUCAAAAACUUAAAACAUCUAAGCUGAGAUGCACAGGAAAAACAGAAGCUGUCUUAUGCCAAGUCUGACUAUUUGUUCACCCAGCCCAAGUGAGAUUUACUCCAACUGGUAGUGCUUCAUGGAGAGUAUUCCCUCAUGUCUCACCUUAAAAACAACAACAACGUCUGGCUAUGCCAGACGUUGGAUUAGGAAUGUUCUACAUGUAAGGUAGGUACUGUGACACUAAACAAGAGCUCCUCCGCUUCACUCUGCUCCUAAUGCCUAAUGCUAUCAGUAAGCCCUGAAGAGCACACAGACCACAGGAGCUCCUGAGUUGGUGUUCACUAUUUGGGUGAAGGAGACAGCAGCAAAGGAUGAAUUAUGGGAACUGAGAAGCAAGCUGAUGCCCUCACUUCACAGCUCCUUGAAUAGCUAAAAAGAGUGAAGUAGAGGAGGGAAGAGGAAGGAGAGAGAGAAGAAAGAAAAAACCCUACCCAAAACAACCUGGAACAAUCCUGCAACUAGACUGUGGGUUUGCAACCUACUGCAACAAACCCAGUCAGCCCCCUGCAAGCUGAGUGUGCUAGCAAACACCAUCACAAGAGGAUUUCUCCCACCUACCUGCUUGAGUCGCCUGAUCUCUUGCUCCAGUUCUGUUUCCCGUGUCCGGCUGUUAUACUCCUGGAGGCCUAUACUGCUGCUUCUGCCCCUUCGCUGUUCAGCUUCAAGCUUGAAGAGCUGCAAGUGUUCCAGCUGCUUCCUCAAGUCCUCAAUGAGCUGCCAGGCAAGUAAGCAAGAUCAGUGGAGAAUUAUUAUCUAUUUACUAUGAACAAGUCCCUGUACUAAACAUGCAUGGCUUGCAAACGCAGCCCGUUGGGUCCAUAAUUAUGCUAGUAGUAUGGAAGAGCAUUCUAAACAAUUUCCCCUGCUCCCACUUCCUUACAAUUUAAUCUGAUUUGUAUCUAGAAGCAAGCCUUGAAAUACUGGCGAGUGAAGUUUGAAACAUCCCUAACCCACAGCUAUUUCCAUCUU